rnacentral:rRNA from 1 species
UACGUAGGGGGCAAGCGUUGUCCGGAUUUAUUGGGCGUAAAGCGCGCGUAGGCGGUUACUUAAGUCGGAUGUGAAAGCCCUCGGCUUAACUGAGGAAGUGCACCCGAAACUGAGUAGCUAGAGUACGAAAGAGGGUCGCGGAAUUCCCGGUGUAGAGGUGAAAUUCGUAGAUAUCGGGAGGAACACCGGUGGCGAAGGCGGCGACCUGGGUCGAGACUGACGCUGAGGCGCGAAAGCGUGGGGAGCAAACAGG